rnacentral:lncRNA from 1 species
UUCAAAAAAUAACUUCAUCUUUUACCUUUCAUAUGCCAUAUAACCGAAAUUUUUGGGAAUCAUACAGGGCGAGCAAUAAUGAACUUUACCCAUGAAGGUCCGACCCGAAAAUCACAUUUUAUUUAAUAACUUUUUAGUGGUGGCACCUGGACCAUUUAUAUUCUCAGGGAUUAAAUACUUUAAUAACCCCAUUAUUUGUGUAAAAUUACAAUCUUCCAACAUUAAUAGGUUCUGAGCAAUUCGAAUUUUCGCGUUUAAUUCAUUUGCCACGUCCCUGUACAUGGUGAAAAGAUCAAACAACAUCUAAAGGAUCCGAAAUUUUGUUUUACAACACAUACUAAAAUUUCAGGGUUCCAGCGAUAGUACAAGUACCCGAAAAAUGCGAUUUUAUGAAAAAAGUCCAUUUUUUUGCGUUUUUGCAGGUAAUUGGAGGUGUCAACCUAAACUCUGAUGAAAUGGCUGGUGGGAACAAUACUUUGACGCAUGGUGGAUACAAAUUUUUUGCUCGUGACAGGUGGCCGGGACUUGGUUGGGUUUUUUGUAAAAUUAUGAAUGAAAAUGAACCGGAAACGAUCAGGGAAAGGAAGCACCGAAUCAGAAAAUGAAUGGGCUUUCCGAAUCUGUGCAUAUCAAUUGGGGAAAUUGUGUAUUGCGGCCAGGAAAAUUCGGCAAACAUUUUGACGUCUUCGAAAAAUGCCGUUUUUUUGAAAUGUCAGUGUCUUUAUACCGGGGUGAGACGAAAUGAAAUUUGCCCGAUUAUUUUAUUAAAAUUAUUCGAAUAUAUACACGGGUCAGUCGUAAUGAUCUACUUAAUUUAAAAUAAGAAUUUAGAUAUUAGGUGAGUUUUUACUAUUUAGUUUAUUAUUAAUAAAUGUUAACAAUUCUUAAACAUUGCUUUUGGGAUAUAAAUAAAAAUUUUUUGAAAUUAUUGAUUUUUAAGGUUAGUCGAGUAUCAUAACUUUUUUGGUAUUGGUGCGAUUUGGUUGAAAUUUGGUACCUAGUACCUAUUUCGGAUAAGAUUAAUAAAUUUUUACAGAUAUUUGACAUGACUAUGUUUUAAGGUCACGUGAUUAUCAAAACUUUCUUCCUAUUUGUCCGAUUUGAUUGAAAUUUGGUAUUUGGGGUUUAUUUAGGAUGCAAUUAUUAAUUUUUCACAGAUAUUUGACAUUUGACUUCCAGGUCACGUGACUAUUGUAACUUUUUUGCUAUUGGUCUGAUUGGGUUCAAAUUUGGUAUUUGGGCUUUAUUUAGAAUGCAAUUAUUAAUUUUUGACAGAUAUUUGACAUUUGACUUCCGGGUCACGUGACUAUUGUAACUUCUUUGCUAUGAGUCCGAUUGGGUUCAAAUUUGAUAUUUAUGCUUUAUUUAGGAUACAAUUAAUAAAUUUUAACAGAUAAUUGACAAAUUAUAUUUUAAAGUCACGUGACUUUCAUAAUUCUUUUGCUAUUGAUCCGAUUGGGUUGAAAUUUUGUAUUUGGGCUUUAUUUAGGAUGCAAGUAAUAAAUUUUGACAGAAAUUUGACAUAUUGAAUUUUAAAGUCACGUGACUUCCAUAACUUUUUUGCUAUUGAUCCGAUUGGGUUCAAAUUUGGAAUUUGGGGUUUAUUUAGGAUGCAAUUGUUGAUUUUUUACAAAAUUUUAAAAUAUUAAG